CCUACGGGUGGCAGCAGUGGGGAAUAUUGGGCAAUGGACGCAAGUCUGACCCAGCAACGCCGCGUGAAGGAAGAAGGCUUUCGGGUUGUAAACUUCUUUUAAGGGGGAAGAGGAGAAGACGGUACCCCUUGAAUAAGCCACGGCUAACUACGUGCCAGCAGCCGCGGUAAUACGUAGGUGGCAAGCGUUAUCCGGAUUUAUUGGGUUUAAAGGGUGCGUAGGCGGUCCGUUAAGUCAGCGGUAAAAUUGCGGGGCUCAACCCCGUCGAGCCGUUGAAACUGGCAGACUUGAGUUGGCGAGAAGUACGCGGAAUGCGCGGUGUAGCGGUGAAAUGCAUAGAUAUCGCGCAGAACUCCGAUUGCGAAGGCAGCGUACCGGCGCCAGACUGACGCUGAGGCACGAAAGCGUGGGGAUCGAACAGGAUUAGAUACCCCAGUAGUC
rnacentral:rRNA from 1 species